GUGUACCCAUACCACAAUCCAAAACGCCCCACAUUCUAGGUAACUAUGGUUUGGCUUGGGGCUGCGGCUCUAAGAGAUGGGUCUAUGAAAGCUUGGGAUAGAGAGGGAUAAAGAACGGCGAGGAGGGAGAUGAGACAGAGAGAGUGGAAGAUUCAUGUGAAAAAAGAAAGAGGGAAAUAGGGAAUUGGGGAUUUGUCUUGGUUUAAUGGA
rnacentral:misc_RNA from 1 species